UGAGCACAGGGAAAGGGGCGGGGUAUAAUGAGGAGCGCAAGUACUGACUCCUACCUUGGCUUCCCCUUUGGAUAAUCAGUUAUUCCCAAACUUCCCUGUAACAGAUCAGCCCUCCUCACCUUUCACCUUCGUCCGUGCCCCGAAACUCUUUGCUCUACCAGUGUCCCUGCCCUGUUCUCUCAGCUCUCUAACCCAACCUGAGCUCCUUCAAGCGCACACGCUCCUUUAACGCAGCCAACCGAACACAAUAAGAGCUAGGGAAGAAACUGACACAGGGAAACUGACAGGGGAAGCUGACACUGUAGUAUGAAAGAGAGGGAGAAGGAGGGAGGAAGGGGGAGAUGCAGAGAGAAGGGAGAGAAAAGAGAAAAAGAGAGAGAGAGAGCGGCAUUCACACUCUUACCUGCACACUCAAGCUCCUGCUGUUAGGUAGCGGCUGGCGGGAACGCUGGCCACCCCUCUAAAUCCCUUUCUACACUAGAGGUUUCUAUCCCCUUCUGCUGCCUUGUCUGGAAUAUGCUAUACAGGGAAGGGGAGAGAAAUGCAAAGAGGGGUAGGGAGGGGAAAAUCGAGGAGGCACGCUCCCUUUCUCCUCCCCACCCCAAUCUCCACAAAUGUUCAACCCUGAGCUCUUCCUUUUCCCUUCUUUCUGCGCCGGGCUUCCCCCUGCUCCUGUUCUCUUCCUCCCUUUGGGGUGGCUGAGAGCUGCGGACAGCCCGUCUUGGUUGUGAUGUGGUGCGUGUGCGUGUGUGUGUCUGUGUGUGUGUGUGUGUGUGUGUGUGAGAGAGAGAGAGAGAGAGAGAGAGAGAGAGAGAAAGAGAGAGAGACAACCCUGGUAGGCAGGCGAAAGCACCCCUCACCUCCCCCAGCCCCGAAGCCUUUCUCGAUCUCCCGGCGAAAGGCUGUGGCGGACGGGGUGGGGCGGGGGAGGCGGGGACGGGGGAGGGAAAGAGGGAGGACGGGGCAGGCGGCGCGGGCAGCAUCUCCUGCCUUCUCUGCAGCUCAGAGGCCAGGGGUGGAAGGAAGCCGCAGCCGCAGCCCCAAGUCAACCCCUGCUGCCCCGUCCCACCAUCUCAUCUCUCCCCCCUCGGUCAAAGAAGUGUGAUCUCAUUCCAUCCUUAUAAUUUGAGGACCUUACUCUUCGUGGACCUGAGAGUAAUCUCUUUAAAUUGUCUCAUUCUCUUUAAAGGUAAGAGGAAUAUAUUUUCCCCCGGUUUUACAGUCAUCUGACUCAGAUGCUGCAGGAUAUUAGAAUAAAUCUGUAGUUGUUAUUUUUCUUCAUUUAAGAGAUGGCUGCCUAAAUUAUAACCUUGGCCAUGGUACAUGAACUGAAUGUUUUUCCAUCUGUUUGUUUCCUCUCUUAUUUCCUUGAGCAGUGGUUUGUAGUUCUCCUUGAAGAGGUCCUUUACAUCCUUUGUUAACUGUAUUCCUAGGUAUUUUAUUCUUUUUGUAGCAAUUGUGAAUGGCAAUUUGUUCUUGAUGUGGGUCUCUUUAAGUCUGUUAUUGGUGUAUACAAAUGCUUGUGAUUUCUCCACAUUGAUUGUAUCCUGAGACUUUGCUGAAGUUGCUUAUCAGUUUCAGGAGAUUUUGGGCUGAGAUGAUGGGGUCUUCUAAAUAUAUAAUCACGUUGUCUGCAAAUAGAGACAAUGUGACUUCCUCCUUUCCUAAUUGAAUACUCUUUAUUUCUUUUUCUUGCCUGAUUGCUCUGGCUAGAACUUCCAGUACUAUAUUGAAUAGGAGUGGUGAGAGAGGGCAUCAUUGUUUAGUGCCAAAUUUCAAAGGGAAUGCUUCCAGUUUUUGCACAUUCAGUAUGAUAUUGGCUGUGGGUUUGUCGUAAAUAGCUUUUAUUAUUUUGAGAUACAUUCCAUUAAUAACUAGUUUAUUGAGGAUUUUUAGCAUAAAGCACUGUUGAAUUUUUGUCAAAGGCCUCUGCAUCUAUUGAGAUAAUCAUGUGGUUUUUGUCUUUGGUUCUGUUUAUGUGGUGGAUUAUGUUUAUAGACUUGCAUAUGUUGAAUCAGCCUUGCAUCCCCGGGAUGAAGCCUACUUGAUCAGGAUGGAUAAGCUUUUUGAUGUGCUGUUGCAAUCAGUUUGUCAGUAUUUUACUGAAGAUUUUUGCAGCUAUGUUCAUCAUGAAUACUGGCCUGAAGUUUUCUUUUCUUGUUGAGUUUCUGUAGGGUUUUGAUAUCAGGAUGAUGUUGGUCUCAUUAAAUGAUUUGGGAAGGAUUCCCUCAUCUUGGAUUGUUUGGAAUAGUUUCAGAAGGAGUGGUACCAGCUCCUCUUUGUAUGUCUGGUAGAAUUCAGCUGUGAAUACAUCUGGACCUAGGCUUUUUUGGUUGGUAGGCUAUUAAUUGCUGUCUCAACUUCAGCCCUUGUUAUUGGUUUAUUCAGGGUUUCGACUUCUUCCUGGCUUAGGCUUGGGAGGGUGCAAGUGUCCAGAAAUUUAUCCAUUUCUUCUGGGUUUACUGGUUUAUGUGCAUAGAGUUGUUUAUAGUAAUCUCUGGUGAUGUUUGUAUUUCUGUGGAAUCUGUGGUGAUAUCCCCUUUAUUAUUUUUUAUUGCAUCUAUUUGAAUCUUCUCUAUUUUCUUUUUUAUUAAUCUGGCUAGUGGUCUGCCUGCUUUGUUGAUCUUUUCAAAAAACCAGCUCCUGGAUUUAGGAAGAAUAAAUAUUGUGAAAAUGGCCAUACUGCCCAUAGUAAUUUAUACAUUCAAUGCUAUCCCCAUCAAGCUACCUAUAACUCUCUUGACAGAACUGGAAGAGUUUAAACCACCUUAAACUUCAUAUGGAACCAAAAGAGAGCCCACAUAGCCAAGUCAAUUCUAAGCAAAAAUAACAAAGCCGGAAGCAUCACGCUACCUGGCUUUAAACUAUACUACGAGGCUACAGUAAUCAAAGCAUCAUGGUACUGGUGCCAAAUCAGAGGUAUAGACUAAUGGAACAGAAUAGAGGACUUGGAGGCAACACCACACAUCUACAACCAUCUGAUCUUUGACAAACCUGACAAAAACAAGCAAUGGGGGAAAGGAUUCCUUGUUUAAUAAAUGGU
rnacentral:lncRNA from 1 species